rnacentral:rRNA from 1 species
CACGUAGGGUGCGAGCGUUGUCCGGAAUUAUUGGGCGUAAAGAGCUCGUAGGUGGCGUGUCGCGUCUGCCGUGAAAGCCCAUGGCUUAACUGUGGGUCUGCGGUGGAUACGGGCAGGCUAGAGGCUGGUAGGGGCAAGCGGAAUUCCUGGUGUAGCGGUGAAAUGCGCAGAUAUCAGGAGGAACACCGGUGGCGAAGGCGGUUCUCUGGGCCUUACCUGACGCUGAGGAGCGAAAGCAUGGGGAGCAAACAGG